rnacentral:rRNA from 1 species
ACUUGAACACCCACAGGCGAAGACAACUCGAAAGUUAUCACGGGAUUACGGGUUCGGCCGAUGGCGCAAGCCUUCGUCGGGCCCCUCCAUCCCAGGGUGUCCCGGUACGGGUGCUUGCACCCAGCGGACAUCCCCGGAGUGCGUAGGAUGUGACCCGAAAGAUGGUGAACUAUGCCUGAUCAGGUCGAAGUCAGGGGAAACCCUGAUGGAGGACCGAAGCAAUUCUGACGUGCAAAUCGAUUGUCAGAGUUGGGCAUACGGGCGAAAGACCAAUCGAACCAUCUAGUAGCUGGUUCCUUCCG